rnacentral:rRNA from 1 species
GGUUCGAUCAUGGCUCAGAUUGAACGCUGGCGGGAUGCUUUACACAUGCAAGUCGAACGGCAGCACGGACUUCGGUCUGGUGGCGGGUGGCGAACGGUGAGUAAUGUAUCGGAACGUGCCUAGUAGCGGGGGAUAACUACGCGAAAGGUAGCUAAUACCGCAUACGCCCUUCGGGGGAAAGCGGGGACCUCGGGCCUCGCACUAUUAGAGCGGCCGAUAUCGGAUUAGCUAGUUGGUGGGGUAACGGCUCACCAAGGCGACGAUCCGUAGCUGGUUUUGAGAGGACGACCAGCCACACUGGGAUCUUGAGACACGGCCCAGACUCCUACGGGAGUAUGGUGGGGAAUUUUUGACAAUGGGGAAACCCUGAUCCAGCCAUCCUGGGCGUGUGCGAUGAAGGCUCUCGGGUUGUAAAGCACUUUUGGCAGGAAGAAACGGCACGGGAUAAUACCCCGUGCAACUGACGGUACCUGCAGAAUAAGCACCGUUAACCACGUGCCAGCAGCCGCGGUAAUACGUAGGUGCAAGCGUUAAUCGGAAUUACUGGGCGUAAAGCGUGCGCAGGCGGUUCGGAAAGAAAGAUGUGAAAUCCCAGAGCUUAACUUUGGAACUGCAUUUUUAACUACCGAGCUAGAGUGUGUCAGAGGGAGGAAAUUCGCGUGUAGCAGUGAAAUGCGUAGAUAUGCGGAGGAACACCGAUGGCGAAGGCAGCCUCCUGGGAUAACACUGACGCUCAUGCACGAAAGCGGGGGAGCAAACAGGAUUAGAUACCCUGGUAGUCCACGCCCUAAACGAUGUCAACUAGCUGUUGGGGCCUUCGGGCCUGGUAGCGCAGCUAACGCGUGAAGUUGACCGCCUGGGGAGUAAUGGUCGCAAGAUUAAAACUCAAAGGAAUUGACGGGACCUGCACAAGCGGUGGAUGAUGUGGAUUAAUUCGAUGCAACGCGAAAACCUUACCUACCCUUGACAUGUCUGGAAUCCCGAAGAGAUUUGGGAGUGCUCGCAAGAGAACCGAACACAGGUGCUGCAUGGCUGUCGUCAGCUCGUGUCGUGAGAUGUUGGGUUAAGUCCCGCAACGAGCGCAACCCUUUGUCAUUAGUUGCUACGUGAAAGGGCACUCUAAUGAGACUGCCGGUGACAAACCGGAGGAAGGUGAUGACGUCAAGUCCUCAUGGCCCCUAUGGGUAGGGAUUCACAUCGUCAUACAAUGGUCGGGACAGAGGGUCGCCAACCCGCGAGGGGGAGCCGCCAAUCCCAGAAACCCGAUCGUAGUCCGGAUCGCAGUCUGCAACUCGACUGCGUGAAGUCGGAAUCGCUAGUAAUCGCGGAUCAGCAUGUCGCGGUGAAUACGUUCCCGGGUCUUGUACACACCGCCCGUCACACCAUGGGAGUGGGUUUUACCAGAAGUAGUUAGCCUAACCGUAGCAGAGGGCGAUUACCACGGUAGGAUUCAUGACUGGGGUGAAGUCGUAACAAGGUAA